CUCAGCUAUCAAGGGACAGAAGCAGUGUGAAAAGUGAAGUUUCCUUUGAGCUGAUACUGUCUGGAAUGGGAGGAGAUGUGCGGUGGCAGGGCCUCCAGCUGUGCCUCGCUGCUGUGCUGCUCUUUGGCGGAGGAAGAGGGAGAGAGUUCCCUGGCACCCUGAGCUGCCUCAAUAACUACGUGAGUACUGUGAGCUGCGUGUGGGCCGUGGAGGAGCCCGUGGGUGAUGGACCUUUCCACCUGCAUUUCACCAACCUCUGGUCAAAGGGCCACAACGCCAGCUGCAAACUGACCGCCGGAGAGAGUAUGAAGAAUCAGUACCACUGUACAAUCCAUUUAGCCAGUCAGAUCUUGGAAACGGAUGGUUAUAGAGUCUCUCUCCAAGGCAACUUCUUUGGACGUAAUCACACGUACAUUACCUUUCCCGAGUACAAUCCCUGCAAGCACAUAAAGCUCGAUCCACCUUUCAACAUUGAGAGCAACGUCACUGCCAGCCAGUGUCACAUACGGUGGAGUGUGCCUUGGCACCUUGAGGAGAUUCUGCAGUACGAGUUGCAGUAUAAGGAGUACAGCACACCCUGGGAGGUCGCCUUGAAAAAGACGCUCCCCAGUUCACUGCCACAGAUUGAAAUUGAAGCCACAGAGCUUCACAGUGGCGUCACUUACACUGCAAGAGUUCGCUGCAAAGUUUCUGAAAAUGAGGAUUCAUACCAUAGCCAGUGGAGUGAGUGGAGCCAGACAACAGUGUUUCAAAGACCAGAUGUACCAAAGCUGUCUGAAAAAAUCCUGAUUACCGGAACUAUGCAGUUCUUGAUCAUUCCUCUGAGUUUUGGCACUCUACUCUAUUUAUUUUGGAACUUCAAUCUUUCUUCAAGGGCAAAAAGCCUCUCCUGCUUUAACAUUCCCACGCCAGCUGCUUUCUUUCAGCCACUCUAUAAUCUGCACAAUGGAAACUUUAAGGACUGGGUUGGACCUAAUGAUGCUUGUACCCAACUCAGAAGAGAAGAGGCCAGCAACUCAAACAAAGUGAUUGCAGAUGGAGUUUCUGAUUUAAACAGCCAAGAACUGAUUUCCCAGAUCUCCUUGAAACCUAUGGAAAGCACAAAUCUGGUUGCUGCAGAAGAAAACUUUGCAUUUGCUUCACAUGCAAGCUGGCAGUAUGUUCCCAUCAGGUAUGUAAGAGCAGAAGAGAGAGAACUGAGGCUGGAACUACUGUCUGCACAAAGCCACACCAAUGAGACAGUUGGCCUGAAAAUCUCUGAAAUAUUUAAAACCAACCUUGAAAGCCCUAGCAUGGGAAGGAAUUAUCCUUCUCACUCACAGCACGGAAAGGAUGACUUCCUUAUGCUUCAGGAAUCCUUGGAGAUAGCAAAUGUAUCCUUCAGCAGUAGUGACUAUUGUACCUUGUGUGACCACAGGAGAUCUGAUUCCUGCCGAACUACUGAAGCUCUCCAAUGGUAGUAGUUUUGUCAAACAUCAGAAUGAUCAGAAUGACUUUCCCUGAGAAAUACUGCUGCAAAGAUCUUUACAUUGUCCUCUCACAUCCCAACACUGGCUUCCCAAGCGGCUUAAAUGGUGACUGUGCAGACAAUUACAAAUGCAUCACUUUUAGAUAAAUCUUCAAUUUCUGUACUUCAAAAGCAGAUUGUGACCAACUCCUCUGACUAGCACGCACCACCAGCACAGGAAUGGCAAGGCUGACUCCAGCAACAUCCGCUGUCUCAGGAGACACACGAUGGUGCCUUCCCUACAUGAACCCCCUGGCAGCAGCAGAGGUCCAGCAACCCCUGCAUGUGAGGAAGCCACAGCCGGCCUGCUAGCUUACCUUAGGAAGAACUAGGGUUAUUGUGUGCCUCUCGCUGACCUGCAAGACGAUGCUUUCCAAAUUUCCUUGUGAGACAAUAGCUCAGCACUGCUCUUGUUAGAUAGUUCUUUCCUCACUGCAAGUUGGGUUAACCCAACAUUUGCUCAAUCCUAACCAUUAGCACCUGCUGGACUGGGAAGCAGCAGUGUUUGCAAUGUGCAAACCAUGGUUGAGACUCAAGCAUUCUUUGAAAAUUAUGUACAAUUCUUUGUAAAACCAUGAUAAACGAUUUUUGCUAAGGAGGGUAAUUUUGCUUCAUAAUAUGAUACGGACGACUUCAAAUCAUUCCUGAUUUCAUCAGAAUUUAUAAUUGCACUUUUUAAAGGUUAUCAGGCAGUGGACCUUAUUUGUUAUUAUGCUGAAUGGCUGUAAUUUUUUUGUUUUGCAGGAACUAAGCCCCAUGUAAUACUUUGAUUUUAACAAAAAAAAUAUUCCAGGGCUAAGUGGCUGGGCUGGUCUAAAAGGAGAAAUGUGAAAAGCGAGAAUAGCACAAAUGAGCUUCAUUUAACCACAGAACAGGCCACGCUCACUGCAUCUCCAGGGCUUUUAUUAUUCUCCAGAACUGAGGAGUCCUUUCCCUGUUCAACAGUUUGCAGACUAAAGCACUAAGCCAGUGCUGCUGCUACCACCAUCAACAGAAAAGGGGACUAGAAGACGCCUGUGUGAAGAUGUAUUUUACAGCCUAUAAAGCCAAGGGGAACCAGCACAGUGAGCUGUCCCAUAGUGUGUAUGUAGCAUGCGAGCACCAGUACAGUUCUGGUAGUGAUAGAAGCUGUAUCUCCAUCAGACACUCUGCUAUCUAGUCAUCUGCGUGCUCAUUUCAAGAGGAGUAAGAAGAUCAGUCUGCGUGUUUAUCAACAGUAAAGGUACCACAGCACUGACACAAACUCAUUUUGAAAGAGCAACAAUCAAGUCACAAACAUUAAGACAGCACUCGAUCCGUUGUGCCCUCGAUUAGGAUGGCUUGUCCUCACAGUGUGGCUUCUAAUGCAUCAAAACAAAAGGCAAGUGUCAAGUAGUGCUGUUUGGCAAGCCGAAACAUUCCCCGCAGCCCUGAGCUUCAGGGUUUAAGAUCAUGGAUCUGCAAAUUCCCUCUCAAAGGUGCAGAAACCUAGCCUGUGAAAGCAAUCUUUUUUCCUGAGACUGCCAUUAGUCAAUGGCCCAAUAAAGCCAUAAAUCUUUUCCUAGUUAAGUAAGCAGAUGGGAGGAGAGUAAUUCCAGAGGCAAGAGAAACUAACUUCUUCUUUUUAGUUUUCUUUUUUAAAGUUUGGACAUUGUGUAAACAAAGGACAGAGAAUGUUGGUUAGACUCGGAGCAGCAGCAUCUUACUAACUGCCCAAUGUGAACUGUCAGUUCCAGCUCCACAGCCCUAUUGCUUCAUCUUCCCUGCAGUGCUCCUGAGUCACCAACCCUGUGCUGCAAAAGUCUUUCUCUACCACCACAGGCCUUUCCAGACAGGCAUAUCUCCUUGAGCCUUCCAGCCCCCGUCAGCAGAGUGCAUGUCCUUUCACGGAGCCACCCACAUGCUCAUCCAUCUAGACAGUAAAAACACCAAAAAUUUAAAAUAGUCUGUUUAAUCUUCAGUAAUUUAAUCUAAUCUGCAGAUCUGUCCCUGCUAGAGGCACAGCAAUUCUGAAGGCAGAGCCACUAAUCAAGUACAGAGAUCCAAACUAUCAGUUCUAAAGCAAGAAUCAUAAUGUUUGAUGGCAUACAUAUUUAAGUCUUGGUGAUCAUAAUUGGAAAAGAGGAGAGGAUGUUAUUUUUCUGCUACCAAAGGGAAUGAACACGUAGCAGGGAGUGGAUUGUUUGUCUUUAAUAACAUGCAAGCCAGGAUUAUGUUGCAACACAAAACUAUAGUACUUGGAUUGCUUGAUGCUCACAGAACCAAGUUAAUCAACAAAAUCAAAAAUCCCAGUGUCAAAUCUUAUUAUUUUAGGGGUGGUGAACAGAUCGAUUUCAUCAACGCGCUUCCUGUUUUCAGUGCAUAUUCGAGCGCAGCAGUCAAACCGCUGUGACAGCAUCGGCUGUAGAUAUCAUGUGCAUGUGGCCCAAUAUUACGCAGUAUCACCUCUGUGUAGAAGUAGUGAAUUUAUGUUCAUAUGAUACUGCAGGCCAAACACAAUAUGGCUUUCUGAGCCAAGCUGAUUCACGUGAAGCCUAAUAGAGGCAGUGCCAGAGCUCACUACAGUCUAAAUGCAAGCAAUGAGUUGUCUUUUGUGUUAUCUUUUUCUAACAUGGUCUGCCAAAAGCUGAAAAAGUUGUAAGCCACAGGGAAGUCUAAAUAAAGCAUUAGCAUAAGAAAGAAACCAGGGCAUCAGUGUGAACAGCUCAGUGAGGACUUUUUCAUAACAUACUUUUACAUUCAAAACCAGACAAUAGAUGUAUUCAGAAUGAGAGUCACAGUACUAGAUUAAAUCACAUAAAUCAAUAGCACGCCUCACCUGGUUUCAGUGUGCAGAACUGGUUAGCCAAUCUUCAUAAUGAGAUUAUGGUUUUCAGUAGCUUGCACAGCAGUUCCCACAGCUCAACGUAUCGCAGUAGGAGUUGCACCAGUGCCAAACACCGAGGUAACACAACACUAACUCCCAAUACCAGUUUCUUCUUUAUACACUUAAGAAUCACAUAUGCUAUUUAAAAAGUCCUGGUCCUUUCCAUCACCUUCCCUUAUUUCAUGCCCUAAAAUCCACUCUGCUGCUACCACCAAACUGAGCUUUUUUGCCUGUUGGAGAUUGAAUGAAAUUAUUUGAUCAGCAUUCUCAGGGAGGGAGAAGGCAGGAUGCAUUCUUCCCUGUCUGGGAAACCUUGGACCAGCUCUGAGCAAACCAAUGCAGUGAACUCAGCAGUGCUUCUGGUGCUGGGAGGUCACCCCCAACCAGAGUGACCCGAGGGAAAGUAUAGGCUUAGUUUACAACACGCGUGUCAGAUCUUCUGCCGUUUGUUGCAGUCCAAGUUUUC